GCCAGCGUAGCUCAGUGGUAGAGCAGCGGUUUCGUAAACCGCCGGUCAAGAGUUCGAGUCUCUUCGCUGGCUCCA
rnacentral:tRNA from 1 species